rnacentral:misc_RNA from 1 species
AUGCGAUAAGUAGUGUGAAUUGCAUAAUUUUGUGAAUCAUCGAAUCUUUGAACGCAAAUUGCACUCCCUGGUAUUCCGGGGAGUAUGCCUGUUUGAGGGUCGUUAGAAUAAAAAUCGAGGCGUCGCUCUUUUUUUAAGGGUGAUCGCGUCGGAAUUGAGCCGUCUUUCAAAUGUUAAUUCAUGUCAAAGUGGCUUAAAAUUCAUCCAUCCGGUACGAUUAAAGCGUAUUUAAGAUCAAUUUUGAUUAAGAACGCGCGAUGACGUACCAUCUCAUGUAGUACGUUUGACUUGGCGUCGUCAGGAUCAUUCGUAUACGAUACUCAACUUUUGACCUCAAAUCAGGUAAGAAUACCCGCUGAACUUAA